CCUGCUUCUACCUUUCCCAUUGGACCCUCAUGCACUCUUUCUCUCUUUCUCUCUCUCUUUCUCACACACUCUCUCAAAUACAUAAAUAAACAAACCUUAAAAAAAAAAAAAGAAAAGAUCAUUUCCCCUUGAAUCAGUAGUCAACGAAAGAAUAAAAUGUUUUGGUGUGAUUCAAACAAAUAGGCUCAAGAUACUGAAGGUUUUAAAAUGGCAAAAAUUAAAUAAAGACAUAGACUUGACCUGUCUUUAACACAGCAGUGUGGCAUCACACCAUAUCAGACCAUUCCUGUCCUGGUAACACAGAAUAGGUGACAAAGGUCAGCCUAGCUCCAAGUACCUAUAUUGUAUAGAUGUUGCAUAGCCUAAUGCCCUUCAGCAGCUUUUUACCUGAGAAGGGGGUGCAGUGAGGGGACUUUACUCCUCAGCCCUUACUAAAAUAAAACACCAGGGAAAAGAGCUGGAAGGUAGGAGCUCAACAAGAAUGUCCUUAGGUUUAAUCCUUAGGAUGAUGAGUUCCAAAACAAUAUCCUGGACAAUAAACUGCAGUGUACUUGAAGUAAACUUUUUUUUUUUCAUUUUCUAGUGAAAUGGGCCAGGAGAGACUACAUUUCCUUGAAGCCAAUAUCCUACUUCCAUCAAAAGCAUCUCCUUCCAAGACUCAUCCAUAAAAGUGAAGACCAGGAUUGAUAAGCAAUGAGAAUCAGUGUGUUUUUAUACCCACAGCAAUAGUUUUUGGUACUAAGUACUCACUGUCUGGUCUUCACAUGACCAUGCAAAGAAAAAAAACCUGUCACUCAAGAUUCUCCCCACACAUAUUUUUAUAAGUGAAUAUAAAGUCAAGGAGCAUGGAGAAAAGUUUCAAAGGUUCAAAGAAGUCCAGGCGUAAUGACUGUGACUAUAUGUGGUCUCUGAAUAUGCUGGUCAGCAAACACAAACAAAUAUUCUCCUAACCUACAGACAUGAGUGGCAGGAAUCUGGAGAAGAGAAAGAGAAGAGUUACCCGAGGAACAUAAAGGUAAUCUGCAGUCUUGGGUUGUUGUUACGGGUUAAAUUUUGUCCAUCCAAAAUCCACAGGUUAAUCCAAGGCAUCAGAAUGUGAUAAUUUUUUUGGAGAUACGGCCUUUAAACAGAUGAACAUUUCAAAAUAGGACAUUUAGAGCAGGUCCCUAAACUCAUGUGACUAGCACCCUUAUAUAAGGGAAAGGCCAGCACCUUGAUCACGGGUUCUAGAAUUGUUAGAUCAUGACUUUCAAUUGCUUAAGAUGCCUAAGUCUACGGUAUUUUGUUAUGGUGGCUCUAGCAAAC
rnacentral:lncRNA from 1 species